rnacentral:lncRNA from 1 species
UUGAAUUGAUGGCUCCCAUCAUUAUUGAGUAAGACACAUUCCUCAGUGGGUAUCUGGAGUUCAAAUAUUUUGUGUUGUUGAUUCAAGUGAAAGUAAUGGGCUACAAAUGGCAGAUAUGCCAGUGGCACAUCGUAUUAUUAUGAUGCCAUGUAUAUGAUGUCAUAUAUAUUGUGAUGUCAUAUAAUGUCAUGUUAUUUAAAAAAUUAAAGAAUGUUAUUUGUAUUGUUGCCCAAGUAGAGAAUAUUUUCACCUACCCACUUUGGGCAAAAUGGUGCCAGUGCAAAGAGGAAAAAUCGUAACUCAGAGACUUAAGAUGUGAACUUAGAAAGUGAAUCAAGGCUGGGUGUGGUGGCUCAUUCAUGUAAUCCCAAAACUUUGGGAGGCCGAGGAAGGUGGAUCACUUAAGGCAGGACAUUAAGCUUCACUUGAGUGGUCAUGGAUCUGAAUUUUCAAAGGUGCUUGAGGCAAAGCAACAGUCUCACUUCUGUUCAACAGAUACUACUUUCCUUUUACUGCCAAAAACCAAGGUCAAGAAGGUGAUUUGGCCAGAGGCCCAGUGUAAUCAAAGCCACUGCAGAGAGAAGACAUUCAAGCCACAGCAGAAUUUCAGGAGGCACUGGUUUUGCAUGUGAACUUCACCUUCUGCAGAACAAAGUCGGCUUACCAUGAACUGGAAAUCAAGUGGAGGAUCAUUCAAUGGCCAUAUUUCUUGUAAGAAAAAAAUAGAUUUUAUUUCCCAUCAACAUUUUGUUUCUGACCCAAAUAUGCAAGAUACGGAACAGUACUAGGAAAACAGAAGUAGGUGGAGAAAAGAAAUUGAAAGGAAUUUGUUCUGCUUUCCUCAUGUUAUAUAAUAAGUAGGGCCUAAAGAAAACGUUAUUCUGUGAGUCGUUAGGAUCCGGAAACAAAGAUUCAGGUCAGUUAUCCAUAGGUUGAUUACUGAAAUUGACCUCCCAUAAGGCAUCAAUUUCUCCUUAGAAAUUACAGACAACUGUGCAUCAGGUACAACCAGAUUAUUCUUUAUGCUCAACCACCACCAUGGCUUUUCCAUUCUUCUUGUGAAAUGAAGAUAAUUAUAGAGUUUGAUAAAAUCUUUUAUUAUUAAUUAAAUAUGGCACAUGCACAUACUUAAUUAUGGAUUCCAAAUGUAAAACCCUAUAUAGUUAUUCUUUUAAGAGGAACUGUCAAGCAAGCUUCUUUGCUUUGUAGUUGGGUUUCAACAAAUACUUGCCAAUUUGAUUUAAAUUCCAUUUCAAGACAAGUUAAUUUGCAGAUUUAGAUUUAAAUGCUUUGUUAUUAUUAUUAUUAUUUUUAAGUACCACAUACCUCAAGAUUUAAAGGACUAAGCGAAAGUGACUAAUUUAUGUGUGCCACUAAUUCGGUCAA